UGAGUACGAGAUGCUACGGCAUCGAAGCAGUCUAUGUCAUACUUCCAAGAAAAGCUUGCACUGUCAUAAACAAAGAAUGCCUGUACCAUAACCGACACAGGUGGGUAGGUAGAGUAUACUAAGGGGCGCGAGAUAACUCUCUCUAAGGAACUCGGCAAAAUGACUCCGUAACUUCGGGAGAAGGAGUGCCUUAUUUCUAAGGUUGCAAUAACAAGAUCCAAGCAACUGUUUACCAAAAACACAGGUCUCCGCUAAGUCGUAAGACGAUGUAUGGGGGCUGACGCCUGCCCAGUGCCAGAAGGUUAAAGAAGUUGGUUAGCAUUAGCGAAGCUGAUAACUGAAGCCCUGGUGAACGGCGGCCGUAACGAUAACGGUCCUAAGGUAGCGAAAUUCCUUGUCGGGUAAGUUCCGACCCGCACGAAAGGCGUAAUGAUUUGGAUACUGUCUCGGAGAGGGGCUCGGUGAAAUAGACUUGUCUGUGAAGAUGCGGACUACCUGCACCUGGACAGAAAGACCCUAUGAAGCUUUACUGUAACUUGAGAUUGAAAUUGGACUUUAUUUGCGCAGUAUAGGUGGGAGGCGUUGAGAAUAAUCUUGCGGGAUUGUUGGAGCCAUCAGUGAGAUACCACUCUUGUAAUGUUAGAUUUCUAACUUUGUAUCAUUAUCUGGUCAAAGAACAGUUUCAGGCGGGCAGUUUGACUGGGGCGGUCGCCUCCCAAAGGGUAACGGAGGCGCACAAAGGUUUCCUCUGAACGGGUAGAAAUCGUAUCUAGAGUGUAAAGGCAUAAGGAAGCUUGACUGUGAGACCUACAAGUCGAGCAGGGACGAAAGUCGGUCUUAGUGAUCUGACGGUGCUGAGUGGAAAGGCCGUCACUCAACGGAUAAAAGUUACUCUAAGGAUAACAGGCUGAUCUCCCCCAAGAGUUCACAUCGACGGGGAGGUUUGGCACCUCGAUGUCGGCUCAUCGCAUCCUGGGGCGGUAGUCCGUCCCAAGGGUUGGGCUGUUCGCCCAUGAAAGCGGUACGCGAGCUGGGUUCAGAACGUCGUGAGACAGUUCGGUCCAUAUCCGGUGUAGGCGUUAGAAUAUUGAGAGGAGCCUUCUCUAGUACGAGAGGACCGAGAAGGACAUACCUCUGGUGUACCAGUUAUCGUGCCAACGGUAAACGCUGGGUAGCUAUGUAUGGAGUGGAUAACCGCUGAAAGCAUCUAAGUGGGAAGCCCACCUCAAGAUAAGUAUUCUCA
rnacentral:rRNA from 1 species